rnacentral:rRNA from 1 species
AGUGAACGCUGGCGGUAGGCCUAACACAUGCAAGUCGAACGGCAGCACAGUAAGAACUUGCUCUUACGGGUGCCGAGUGGCGGACGGGUGAGGAAUACAUCGGAAUCUACUUUUUCGUGGGGGAUAACGUAGGGAAACUUACGCUAAUACCGCAUACGACCUACCGGUGAAAGCAGGGGAUCUUCGGACCUUGCGCGAUUGAAUGAGCCGAUGUCGGAUUAGCUAGUUGGCGGGGUAAAGGCCCACCAAGGCGACGAUCCGUAGCUGGUCUGAGAGGAUGAUCAGCCACACUGGAACUGAGACACGGUCCAGACUCCUACGGGAGGCAGCAGUGGGGAAUAUUGGACAAUGGGCGCAAGCCUGAUCCAGCCAUACCGCGUGGGUGAAGAAGGCCUUCGGGUUGUAAAGCCCUUUUGUUGGGAAAGAAAAGCAGCAGGUUAAUACCCCGCUGUUCUGACGGUACCCAAAGAAUAAGCACCGGCUAACUUCGUG